rfam:Oryza brachyantha chromosome 10, whole genome shotgun sequence.
AAUAAUCUUAUUUUUCGUUUUUCCGUGUCUAACGUUUGACCAUUCGUCUUAUUUGAAAUUUUUUUGCGAUUAAUAUUUUUAUUAUUACUAGAUGAUAAAAUAUGAAUAUUGUUUUAUACGUGACUAAUUUUUUUAGAUUUUUGCACAACUUUUUUAAAUAAAACGAAUGAUCAAACGUCGGACACGGAAAA